AAGGCAGGGAGAGAGGGAGGAGGUCAGGGAGCCCUGGGGUGGAGGGGGAACGCAGAGCAUCCCCUGUGCGGACGUCCCAUUCCGACCUCAGAGGGACAAUCCCAUGGGAUGCGGGGGAGAAACCACUCUCUUCUUCGGGAUUGCAUUGGGAACAACGGGUCGGGAAAUGCGUGGGUGCCCGCAGAGAGCCGGGCCUGCGUGGGGAGCACAAACCGGUCCCAGUUCCGCACUGGGAAGCAGCGGUGUGGAUGCGGAGGAAGAGUGGGGCACGGCAGGCCGAGGUCAGCAGGAUGUGGGGGGAUGGGGAGACACCCGUGUGGCACUGCUGGGGAUAAGAGGGACACCACUAUGGCACCAUGGGGAUAGGGGAGAUGUGAGUAUGGCACCAUGGGAUUAGGGGAGAUACCACUAUGGUGCCAUGGGGAGAGGGGAGACACCACUAUGGCAGCGUGGGGAGAGGGAAGACAUGAGUAUGGCACCAUGGGGAGAGGGGAGACAUGAGUAUGGCAUCAGAGGAAUAGGGGAGACACGAAUAUGGUGCCAUGGGGAUAGGAGGGACAUGAGUAUGGUGCCAUAGGGAAAGGGGAGACACCACUAUGGCACCAUGGGGAUAGGAAAGACAUGAAUAUGGCACCACGGGAUUAGGGGAGACACCACUAUGGUGCCAUGGGGAUAGGGGAGACAGCAGUAUGGUGCCAUGGGAAUACGGGAGACAUGAGUAUGGCACCAGAGGAAUAGGGGAGACACCACUAUGGCCCCAUGCGGAUAGGAAAGACACGAAUAUGGCAGCAUGGGAUUAGGGGAGACACCACUGUGGUGCCAUAGGUAUAGGGGAGACAUGAAUAUGGCACCAUGGGGAUAGGGGAGACGCCACUAUGGUGCCAUGGGGAUAGGAGUGACAUGAGUAUGGAACAUGGGGAGAGAGGAGACAGCAGUAUGGUGCCAUGGGGAUAGGGGAGAUGUGAGUAUGAUGCCAUGGGAAUAGGGGAGACACCACUAUGGCACCAUGGGGAUAGGAGGGACAUCAGUAUGGCAGCAUAGGGAUAGGGGAGACAUGAGUAUGGCACCAUGGGGAUAGGGGAGAUAUGAGUAUGGCACCAUGGGGAUAAGGGAGAUGUGAGUAUGGCAGCAUGGGGAUAGGGGAGACACCAGUAUGGCCCCAUGGGGAUAGGGGAGACAUGAGUAUGGCAUCAGAGGAAUAGGGGAGACACAAAUAUGGUGCCAUGGGGAUAGGAGGGACAUGAGUAUGGCACCAUGGGGAGAGGGGAGACACGAGUAUGGCACCACAGGGACAGGGGAGACAGCAGUACGGCAGCACGGGACCCAGGCCUGGCUCCUGGAAUGGGGCACCUCUCCUGGCACAAACGCCCACCGAUCCGAGCGCACAGCAGCCCCCAGGG
rnacentral:lncRNA from 1 species